UACGUAGGUGACAAGCGUUGUCCGGAUUUACUGGGCGUAAAGAGCGCGCAGGCGGUCGGACCAGUCGAAUGUGAAAGCCCCCGGCUCAACUGGGGAGGGUCAUUCGAUACUGAUCGACUCGAAGGCAGGAGAGGGUAGUGGAAUUCCCGGUGUAGUGGUGAAAUGCGUAGAUAUCGGGAGGAACACCAGUGGCGAAGGCGACUACCUGGCCUGUUCUUGACGCUGAGGCGCGAAAGCUAGGGGAGCAAACGGGG
rnacentral:rRNA from 1 species